GAGCGGUGAAAUGCGUAGAUAUCAGAAGGAACACCGGCGGCGAAAGCGGCUCUCUGGUCCGUAACUGACGCUGAGGUGCGAAAGCCAGGGGAGCAAACGGGAUUAGAUACCCCGGUAGUCCUGGCCGUAAACGAUGGGCACUCGGUAGAGGGGUUUUGAAUAUCUCUCUGCCUGAGCUAACGCGUUAAGUGCCCCGCCUGGGGAGUACGGCCGCAAGGCUAAAACUCAAAAGAAUUGACGGGGGCUCGCACAAGCGGUGGAGCAUGUGGCUUGAUUCGAUGCAACACGAAGAACCUUACCGGGGCUCGACAUGACAGAAGUAGGAGUCCGAAAGGACAACCAACGGUAUCCAGUCCGUAGCUGUCACAGGUGUUGCAUGGCUGUCGUCAGCUCGCGUCGUGAGACGUUGGGUUAAGUCCCCUAACGAGCGAAACCC
rnacentral:rRNA from 1 species